AGACGUCUACAUUAGAUACCCGCGUAGUCCAGGGUGUAAACGCUGCAGACUUGGUGUUGGAGGCCCUUUGGGGCAUUCAGUGCCGGAGAGAAGUUGUUAAGUCUGCUACUUGGGAGUACGUCCGCAAGGAUGAAACUUAAAGGAAUUGGCGGGGAGCACCGCAACGGGAGGAGCGUGCGGUUUAAUUGGAUUCAACACCGUAAACUCACCAGGGAAGACUGUUACAUGAAGGCCGAGAUGAAGACUCUGCUAGAUUUUCAG
rnacentral:rRNA from 1 species